rnacentral:rRNA from 1 species
AUUGAACGCUGGCGGCAGGCCUAACACAUGCAAGUCGAGCGAGCGGCGGACGGGUGAGUAAUGUAUGGGGACUGCCCGAUAGAGGGGGAUAACUACUGGAAACGGUGGCUAAUACCGCAUACUAUCGGAUAACCCAUAUGGGAUUAGCUAGUAGGUGGGGUAAGGGCUCACCUGGGCGACGAUCACUAUCUGGUCUUAGAGGAUGAUCGGCCAGACGGGGACUGAGACACGGCCCAGACUCCUACGGAGGAAGCAGUGGGGAAUAUUGCACAAUGGGCGAAAGUCUGAUGCAGCCAUGCCGCGUGUAUGAAGAAGGCCUUAGGGUUGUAAAGUACUUUCAGCGGGGAGGCGUUACCCGCAGAAGAAGCAACGGCUAACUCCGUGCCAGCAGCCGCGGUAAUAC